rnacentral:rRNA from 1 species
GACGAACGCUGGCGGCGUGCCUAAUACAUGCAAGUAGAACGCACAGUUUAUACCUUAGCUUGCUACACCAUAGACUGUGAGUUGCGAACGGGUGAGUAACGCGUAGGUAACCUGCCUGGUAGCGGGGGAUAACUAUUGGAAACGAUAGCUAAUACCGCAUAAUAUUAAUUAUUGCAUGAUAAUUAAUUGAAAUGUUCAAUUGCACCACUACCAUAUGUACCUGCGUUUUAUUAGCUAGUAGGUGAGGUAACGGCUCACCUAGGCGAAGAUACAUAUCAGAACGGAGAGGGUGAUCGGCCAAAAUGGGAGUGAGAAAAGGCCCAGAAGCCUAGGGGAGGCAGCAGUAGGGAAUCUUCGGCAAUGGAGGAAAGACUGACCGAGAAAAGCCGAGUGAGUGAAGAAGGUUUUCGGAUCGUAAAGCUAUGUUGUAAGAGAAGAACGGGGGUGAGAGUGGAAAGUUCACACUGUGACGGUAUCUUACCAGAAAGAGACGGCUAACUACGUG